UCUCGAAAUCAAAGAAUCCUUAUCAGUGCUUCCUUCCUCUCAGAAAGCUUGGAUUCGCAGCGUCCACCCCAAAAAUCUAUUGGCCUAAGCAAAUUCUUCCAAACCCAGAAGAGCUGAGAAAAGGGCUGGAUAUGGCAGUGGGCUGCGGCAGGCUGCCAACCCAGCACUUGGAGGAAAAUACUCCCCUUUCCUACAGCCCUAAGGGGGUGGGAUAAAUACGUGGCUAUCUCUAGUUCCUCAUGUAUUAUUUCUACCUCUCUGCCUAACAUCUAUUUAUCUCUGGUUUUCCACCCCACAUGUCUAGGGCAUGGCUUUUACAUUCAGUCACACUAGUGAAGACAUGUGAUUACCCAUUUUCUCCUACCCAAAAUAAUCUCUCUUUCUCCCUCUCUCUGUCUGUCUCUGUGAAGCAAAUUGCUCUUUGCCGGUAAGGAAAGUAUUAAAGGUACCAUAGCAGUGGCAGCUCCUUUUUGGGGAUACGCUGGGGUGCUACAAAAGAUCUCUAAAAUUUGGCAGCAUCUCCAUGAAGGCAGCCCAGAUGGCUGAUGUUAGCAAGCAGUGGGGAAUGAAAGGUCUGAUUGGAAUCUGAGGGUGCCAGCCCUUGAGAAACCGAUUUGUAGAGAGUCAAAGCCCAUUUUGGUGGUGCUGCUGCUUUUUUGGGUCAACGUUAUGCUCCAGAAUUCCUUAUUUUAGGGCAGCAGCACAACGAAGCCUUGGGCAGCAUCUGCUGCACCUUUCCCAGUACAUGGGACUGUGAUUGGUGUUACCAGUCACAGCUAGAAGAUCUGCCUUCUGAUUCCCCAGUGGGAGACAAGCCAUACCAACUUGCAGAGCAAGCCAAAUAAUUGUUGAUUAGACACUUCUUUUAGAAUGGAGUGUUCUGUCCUUUUAGCUGUCCUGGUAAUAUAGGCCAAAUCAGUUACUAGAUUAAAAGGUUGUUGAUCUAGAUUAAAAGGAAUUUUUUUAAUGCUCUGACAUCAGCAGCCAACUCAGGAAUUUGGGGGGUUCCUUCAAUGACUUGAACAUCCGACUCCCACUUCUGAGUGUUUGGAUCCUUCCAAGUGAUAACCGAUUUGUGUGAUUUUCCAGAGCCAUCUGUAAAAACUGUGAGGGCUUUAAGAGGAACCUUACCUUUUAGAGAAUUUGGGACUAGAUGGAAUAUUUGUUUUAGUAGCUUGUGUUUUGGAUAAUGAAUAGAGACUUGUCCAGGAUAGCUGUCUAAAGCAAACUGAAGGUGUUCAUUUGUCUGUAAUAGGGAUUCCAUUUUCUGUAGCUGAAAUGCUAGAUAAAUGUAUGUUGGGUCACACGCUGCAGGGGUUCGGAGGCGGUUCCGGCCCUUAAUGAUUAAUUGAGCUAAAAGCUCUUGAGGGAUUGUAAUAGUUUUUUUUGGUGUGGCAAAAAUACCUAUUCUAUAAUUAACAAUUUUUCUGUAGAAGACGGGUCCCACUGAAAAAGCAGUGCCUGGAAAUGUGGGGAUUUACCAAGAAUAGCAAACUGGGAGGUUAGAGAGCGGUCAACGCGGUGUGCUUUUCGAGAUGAGAUAGCAGGUGCUACCUUUCGCAGUGCGUCGUGGGCAUCGGGAGUUAAGAUGCGCUGGGAAGUCAGGUCAUGGCUCCCCUUCAGUAGGCUGAACAAAGGGCACAGCUCUUCUCUCGUGAGUCCAAGCAGUGGUCGGAUCCAGGUGAUGGAGCCACACAACUGUUGUAUAUCCCUUAGCAUUUGAGCGUUAUCUUUGAUGGAGACACUUUGGGGAGUAAUGGCUGGCUGACUGAUUAGGAAUCCAAGGUAUUUCCAUGGGGAGGUGUACUGGGUUUUUCAGGAGCCAUAUCAAAACCUGCAUCUUAACUGCUGUCAUAGUCUUUCUGAUUGCUGUGUUAAGGUAAGUCUUGUCUUGGGAGAAAAUUAAAAUGUCGUCCAUGUAAUGUAGAAUUAUAGCUUCAGGGAAGGCUUUCCUGAUUGGAGAUAGAAUCCCAGCCACAAACAUUUGACAUAAAACAGGGGAAGUUUUCAUUCCCUGUGGCAAUGUGACCUAAUGAUAUCUUUUAAAGGGUUCUUGACAGUUGAUGAUUGGUAUCGAAAAUGUGAAUUUGGGAGUGCAGGACAGAGAGGGAUGUUGAAUAAAGUCUUUGGUAUCAAGGAUUGUGAGCUGCCAGUCCCUGGGAAGCACAGAAGGUGAGGAGAGGCCUGGUCGCAAGGGGCCCAUGUCUUCUAAAACAUCAUUUACUUUCCAAAAGUCUUGUAAUAACCUCCAUCUGUCUUUGCCAGGAUUUUUAUAAAAAGACAGGGGUCAGGGACUAGUUGAUGGUACAAUGUGUCCUUUUAAUAAUUGUUCUCGCACUAGGGCGUGGUGUGCUUCUAAUUUGUCUUUUGGAAAGGCCCAAUGAUCCACCCACACAGGAUCAUACCCACAGGGAGGGAUCAUACCUUUUCCCACAGAUGGACAACAGCCAUAUUGAGUGGUUUAGUUUUAAUUUCUUUUUAAUUCCCAAGGUUUCUUUUUUUUCAACAUUGUAAUACAGCAUCUCUAUUCAAAUCAUUAUACUCACCUUGGUUAAUUAAAUAUUUAUUAAUUUAUUUUCCCCCCAUAAUAUCAGAAUGGGACAAAAGCAUAGGAAGAACAACAAGCAAUUACAGAAAUACAGAAUCUUCCCUGAGAAUCCCUUGGGAACCAUGUUAAAAGAAUGGGAAGGACAUCAGCUUAUAAAGACCCACAGCUGAAGAUUGUGCAUUGCAUGUUUGAAUGGCCAAAGAAGAAAUUAAAACAAGGUCUUCGCUGGCCGAAGCAUGGGUCUACCGGGAUGCAGAUUUGCAAAGUACUUCACAAUUAUGUCCAAAAUAAAUUAACUGCAGACACAAUUGAAUUGCAAUAUGUGGAGGUCUGGUUUAAAUAUUGGAACAUCAAAAACGAAGUAGAAACAGAUAAAACAAACCAAAUUCUCUCUGUAACGAUCAAUGAUAAAGACACAACAAGGAAAACCAAUCAGCCAAGGUGGGUCCUAUUAAAUUUCCUCCCCGCUACUGCACCUCCUAACGAACCAGCUGCAGUUGCAGCUGAGUUGUUGGAGGCUUCAAAUGAGUCAUGUAACUGAGAGGGCUGAAGAAGUUGAAGUAGAGGUGGACAUCAGAAGAAACAUAUAAUCUAUCAUCCUCCUCCAGGCAAAUUACAAAUUCAGCCAUGCAGGAAGUUCCAUCCAAUCAAGAAGGUCCAGCCUUCUUCACUCGAGGGAGAACCCUGGCAGUACAAAAAUGUUCCUCCUGCUUCAGCAGUAAAGAUAAAACAAAGGUGCCACCCCUCAGAGAGGUCCCAAUGGGGGGUGCACAAGGUGGAAUAGGACAUGGAAAUGCACCCCUCACCUCUUCAGAAGUGAGGCAUUUUAAAAAGGAAAUGGAGAUAUCAUUCAGUGACCCAGUAGGUUUGUCAGAACAAUUUGACCAAUUCUUAGGGCCUAGGAUUUACCCUUGGGGAGAAUUAAAUUCAAUCAUGCAAACCUUUUCUCUCCAGAGAAGAGAAAAUUAUUUAGACUGCAGGGAUCAAUAUAUUGUACAGAGAACAUAAUUUAGAACCAACUGGAGAGAAGAAAUUACCAUUAACAGAUCCAGAAUGGAACCCUAACUCAGAUGAGGGAAGAAAAAGUAUAGCAGAAUACAGAACCCGAAUUUUAAGGGGAAUAAAAGAGGCAGUCCCCAGAGUUAAUAACAUGAAGAAAGCCUUUGGUGAUGAACAAGAAAAAGAUGAGAGCCCAACUGACUGUAUAAUUCGCUUAAGUAAUAACAUCCAAUUAUAUUUAGAAAGAGAUUUAGAUAGUGAAGGAGGGAAGACAAUGUUCUAGGUCCACUUUGUGUUACAUUCUUGGCCUGACAUAAAACGGAAAUUAGAGAAAUUAGAUGCAUGGCCAGAAAGAAGUUUAGAUGAGUUAUUAGCUGAAGCACAAGAAGUUUAUGCCAGGUGAAAUGAAGAGAAAAUGAAGACUAAAGCUAAGAUGAUGGCUGCUGUCCAAAUUCCUAAACCAAUUAGGCAGGAUGGGGAGAAUAUUAAAUUAAAGAAACCUAUUUGCUUUUAUUGUAAGAAAGAAGACCAUAUGCAAUCCUGCUGUUUUAAGACAUUGAGGGACUUAAGAGAUUCUCCGAGUGGACAAUCAGCCCUCAGAGAAUUGAAGGGGUCAGGAGCUUUUCUUCUUGGGGCACAAAAUCCAUCUUCAAGAGCCCUUGAUAAAAUCAAGGAUAGGACUCCUAGAACAAUUAAUGGAAUUAUUAGUAGACACAGGAGCAGAGACAACUUGUGUAAUUGAAAAACCAAAUGCAUGUGCCAUAAGCAAAGACACUUCCAAUAUUUGUGCUGUUAAAGGGGAAUCCUUUCCCAUUCCCAUCAUUAAGAAUGUCACUAUAAAGGGUAACGGACUAACCAGAAAGGGAGAUUUGUUUUUCUGCCUCCAGCAGGUAACAACUUACUUGCUCGGGAUCUCCAGAUACCUUUGAAAGUUGGAGUAGUUCCACAAGAAGGAAGGAUGAAGGUCAAAUUGUUUACUUUAUCCACACAAGAUGAACAACUGAUUAAUCCUACAGUGUAGGCCCGACCAGAUUCUCCUUCUAGACACCUGUUUGCCUUCACCUGGGAAGAUCCAGACACUGGAAGGAAACAGCAGCUCACCUGGACCUGGCGGCUGCAAGGGUACAUGGAGUCUCCCACACUCUUCAGUCAGGUCUUGGAGAGCCUGUUCAUUUCCUUUUCUCCACCCUCAGGAAUACAAGUAACACAGUAUGUAAAUGACAUACUACUCUCCAGAGAGCAAGAAUCCACUGUAAAAUUAGGCACCAAUCAAUUACUGAACUUCUAGGAGAGAAUGGACUAAGAGUAUCUAAAUCCAAAUUACAAUUUGAUAAACCAAAGUAAAAUAUUUUGGACAUGUAAUUGGUCAUGGUACCAGAAAAUUGAGUACUGAAAGGAUAGAAGGAAUUUUAAAUUUACAACCUCCACAAAAAAAGAGCGAGGUUAGACAAUUAUUAGGCUUAAGGAGGUAUUGUAGAAUAUGGAUUGAUGAAUACACACAAAGUAUCACAAUUUUAUAUGAAAAAUUAACUACAUCAGAACCUAUUAAUUGGACCCAAGAGGAUAAUAAAAACUUAGAAAAUUUAAAGCAAAAGAUGAUUCAGACCCCAGUUCUCUUUCUUCCUUCACUAGAAGAAGAUUUUCACCUAUAUAUUAAACCUAUAUAGGAAUUACUUACGGGGUCUUGGCCCAAGAGUGGUCAGGAUUCCAUAAACCUGUAGCCUACUUGUCCAUAUUGUUGGUCCCUCUGUCCCAAGGAUGGCAAGCAUGCAUCCAAUCAAUCGCUGCAGCAGCCACCCUAGUAACAGCCAGCCAAAAACUUAUAUUUGAGAGAAAUCUGAUAGAAUACAUAUCACACUCCAUCCAAACCAUUCUUAAACAACGAGCAGCCGAAUGGCUAACAGACUCUCAUAUUACACAAUAUGGGAGCACCCUCAUCCAUUCCACAAAUGUAACCCUGAAAACAACCACCCACACCAAUCCCGCACAGUUCCUAUGUGGAAUCCCCAAAAACAAGAUCUCAUGCACAACUGCAUAGUUUUUAUAAACCUGCAAACAAAAAUUCGAGAAGACCUCCAAGAGAGCCCAUUAGAUGAAGGAGAAAUCCUGUUCAUUGACCGAUCAUCUAGAGCUGUAAAUGGAAAGAGGUCCUCUGGAUACUCCACCAGAGAUGGAAAAGAACUGUACAUGACAGAAAAGGAAAACUACCACCUUCCUGGUCUACCCAGGUCAUCAAAAGGGAUCUCUGGAGAAACUAGAGGAAACAUCCUAGCAGACCAUGCUGCAAAGGAGGCUGCUUUUGAGGGGGAAGUAAAGGUAUACAGAUUUUAUCCAAGACACACACCCGAGAGUACACCAGACAACACUCUUCCCAUCCCUAUUUUUAAAGAUGAUGAAAAACAGAAACUCAUAUCACUAGGUGGAAAGGAAGAUUCUGAGGGACAGUGGCAUCCUCCUGAUGGCCACCAAAUGUUAAAUAAAGAGCUCACUCGAGAAAUUUUACAGAACUUCCACCAAUCCACGCACUGGGGAUCUAAAGCUUUAGCAGGUCACUUUCUUCAAAAUUUUGGAUGUCGGGGAAUUGAUGAAUUAGCUAAUCAAAUUACCAUAGGUUGGAUAAUUUGCCAAAAAGUCAACAGAAAAUUAAUGAGGAGAACAAGACCUGGAAGAAUUGAAAUUGCAAUUAGACCCUUCCAAAGUAUUCAAAUUGAUUUCACAGAAAUGCCCCAUGCCCAAAGAUGGAAGUAUUUCUUAGUGAUUGUAGAUCACCUUACCAAUGGGGUUGAAGCAUUUCCAACUGUUAAUGCCACUGCUCAAACAGUAAGUAAGGUAAUCCUAGAACAGACAGUCCCAAGAUAUGGAAUUAUAAAUAACAUUGAUUCAGACCAAAGUACCCAUUUUACAUCAUUAGUAUUGCAACAAUUGGCUCAACAAUUUGGAAUAACUUGGAAAUUACAUACCCCUGGCACCCUCAAAGUUCGGGAAGGGUAGAAUGCAUGAAUCAGACUAUUAGAACAACCUGGACCAAACUGAUGUUAGAAAUGAAGUGGACUUGGAUAAAGUGCCUACCCCUUGCCCUUCUCAGAAUCCAGAGGCAACCCAGAGCUGACUUAGGUUGUUCCCCAUAUGAAAUGUUAUACAGGCUUCCCUAUUUAGCCACCCCGCAUCAAGUAACUGCCAAAGAGUGAGGAAAUAGAAAUGUGCAAAAGUAUAUUCAAAUGAUUGCCCAGAAUCUAAAAGACUUAAUGCAGAGAGGUCUUGUACCCCAGAACGUUCCUUUAGACUUCUAUUUACAUAAGAUCUGCCCCGGAGACUAGGUACUUAUUAAAUGCUGGAAGGAACAAUCCCUGACUCCAUCGGGGGAAGGUCCUUUCCAAGUUCGAUUGACCACAGAGACAGCCAUCCAAACACAGGAAAAAGGGUGCACUUCCAUCAGCCAAGUAAAAGGUCCAGUAACACCACCGCAAGAUAAUGAGAAACCUCCAUGAACUACUGUCUACAACAGUCCUCCCCAGUGUUAUCCCUGAAAUUAUUAUAUCAAUUGUUAUUCUCUCACUGUUUUACAGAAAAGAAUCUAAUGGAUGUUGUAGUUACUAUUUAACAAGUUAUUACAAAUUUUCAAUUCCAUUUCUCCACCAGUGAAGAGUAUCAUUUCCCUGAGAAAUGACCUUUCCUCUCAAUAACUACGUCU